rnacentral:rRNA from 1 species
CCUAAGUCCCCUGGAACGGGGCGUCAUAGAGGGUGAGAAUCCCGUAUGCGGUGGGCUGCCUUAGCCAUGUGAAUCUCCUUCGACGAGUCGAGUUGUUUGGGAAUGCAGCUCUAAAUUGGAGGUAAAUUUCUUCUAAAGCUAAAUACUGGCCAGAGACCGAUAGCGCACAAGUAGAGUGAUCGAAAGAUGAAAAGCACUUUGGAAAGAGAGUUAAAAAGCACGUGAAAUUGUUGAAAGGGAAGCGCUUGCAACCAGACUUGUCCGCAGUUGCUCAGCCGGUCUCCUGACCGGCGUACUCUUCUGCGGCCAGGCCAGCAUCAGUUCGGGCGGUCGGAUAAAGACCCCGGGAAUGUAGCUCCCCUCGGGGAGUGUUAUAGCCCGGGGUGGAAUGCGGCCAGCCUGGACUGAGGAACUCGCUUCGGCAAGGAUGCUGGCGUAAUGGUUGUAAGCGGCCCGUCUUGAAACACGGACCAAGGAGUCUAACAUCUAUGCGAGUGUUUGGGUGUCAAACCCAUACGCGUAAUGAAAGUGAACGGAGGUGGGAACCCGCAAGGGCGCACCAUCGGCCGAUCCUGAUGUCUUCGGAUGGAUUUGAGCAAGAGCAUAGCUGUUGGGACCCGAAAGAUGGUGAACUAUGCCUGAAUAGGGUGAAGCCAGAGGAAACUCUGGUGGAGGCUCGCAGCGGUUCUGACGUGCA